UUCCUAUGCACCGUAAAAACAUUCCUCUUUCCCCUUCACACUUUCACACAGUCACAUGUUCCUCUUGCCCGAUCCCCUUUCUCUCUUUCAGUCUUCCCUACUCUCUCCGGUCACUCCAACAUUUCUGCCGCCGGCGCCGAAUAGCUCCCAUCAGCUUUCUUCCUUGAUUCUGUGCCUUGAGCUUGCUCGUCCGCACCUGCAGCCACCCCCACAUCUCGAUUCUCUGUUGCAGCCACAGGGUGCCCCACAGCUCGAUUCGCCGUUCCAGCCACAGUGUGACCUUCGACGGCGGCUGGUUUUUCUCCUCGUGUGCAUCCUCGGUCUCCUAGGCUGGUAAAUAGUGAUGGAGGGGUAGCAGGGCCCAAGCUGGAGCUGCGCAAGGGAGGAGGCGAGAUCAUCGAUCUGCGCGGUGUUGUUCCUGUCAGCGUUCAUGCAGGUGAUGUGGGCGUGGAUUUCGUCUCCCGCUGUCAGCUUUGAUCCAUCUUUAGUAUGAGGAUGGUGGAGACAUUUUCUGCCCCUUGAGCGCCAGACGCAUCCUACACAUCGGCGACAUUCUUCGAAGUGGCAUAAUAUUAUUGUGAAUAGUUGUCCUAGGUGGUUGCCAAUCGCCCACUGAAGCCACUCUGUUGUCAUUGAGAAAUCCUAGUGCUUCGCAAGCAUAUCUGAUGGGCAUAAUAUAUCCUUCCAACUGAUCUUCAUUUCUUCCUUUUGCUUCACUUCGUGUCUUUCUUCUUCCAUACCUAUUUUGACGGGAACUCUGCAUAUGUUAAUUCUCUGGCUUCCUCACACAUCUUGUGUGUCUCCAUCUACUGUGUAAAUUUAGUGAUUAUCCCUCCUUUCCUUAUUGUCUUUGUUUAAUCUGUAGAAUCUGCUAAAAUGACUUGUUGCUCAUUUUCCAGGUGGAAAGUUAAUCUUUCAAUGCAGGGAUCUCUGAAGUGCAUUUCAAAUUGAAAUAUUCUCCAACACGUGUCAUCUCUUGAUCUCAUUGUUUCGUAUUAGCACCGCGGAUUGGUCAUCACCUUUAUUUAUGUAUUUAAAAAGAAAGUGGCAGGCGACGGACGACUACAAAGAUCAAUGGCGAUGCGCCUGCUGUUCUUUGGACCGAGGAGAGUACCUUGCUCUGCUGCUUCAGACCUGGGCCGACCUUGCUCGUCCAAAUGGCUGCAACCAUCUGCACUGAUGAUCGAUGUCAUAUGGAAAUCAUGUGGGAAUAAGCAUGCGCUCUCCAAUCUCCAUGGACGCCAGUGCCUCGUCUGCCUCCAUCUGCACCCGCCGCUGCAGCGUGGCCCCGGCGUCUUACUCUCCGAUGUUGCUGCUGCCAUGGUGUCGUAAGCAUCUGUCUGCUGCUCAACUGCAGCGUACCACCACUUGAAGCGGCUGUAAGAGUCCUAGGGCAAAAUCCAUCCCCAUGCAAGCUUCCUCCACAGGGCAUGGUGGCGGCGUGCGAAAAAAGGAGUCGAAAACCUGGGCGAGGGAUCUUUUCCUCUUAUUUUUGUGUUUGUGAAAUCGUGUGGAUCCUGAGAAAUUGCAUGAAUCUGUGUAACGUGAAUGUAAUUUUUUUCUAUGUACGUGUAAGCUAAAAAAGAUUUAUGUACGUGUAUAUGCCAACUCACGUGCACAUAUGGGUCAUUUUUUAAUAGAAUUGAGAGACUGUUUAGAAUUGA